rnacentral:tRNA from 1 species
GGAGAUUUAGCUCAGUGGUAGAGUGCUUGCCUAGCAAGCGCAAGGCCCUGGGUUCGGUCCCCAGCUCCA